rnacentral:rRNA from 1 species
GUCCAUGCCGUAAACGAUGAGAACUGGCUGUUGGGCACCUUGGGUGCUUAGUAGCGAAGCUAACGCGUUAAGUUCUCCGCCUGGGGAGUACGGCCGCAAGGUUAAAACUCAAAGGAAUUUACGGGGGCCCGCACAAGCGGUGGAGCAUGCGGUUUAAUUCGACGCAACGCGAAGAACCUUACCUACCCUUGACAUCCUAGGAAUUGAGCAGAGAUGUUUGAGUGCCUUCGGGAGCCUAGAGACAGGUGCUGCAUGGCUGUCGU